CCUACGGGUGGCAGCAGUGGGGAAUAUUGCACAAUGGGGGAAACCCUGAUGCAGCGACGCCGCGUGAGUGAAGAAGUAUUUCGGUAUGUACAGCUCUGUCAGCAGGGAAGAAAAUGACGGUACCUGACCAAGAAGCCCCGGCUAACUACGUGCCAGCCGCCGCGGUAAUACGUAGGGGGCAAGCGUUAUCCGGAUUUACUGGGUGUAAAGGGAGCGUAGACGGCAGGGCAAGUCUGGAGUGAAAGGCGGGGGCCCAACCCCCGGACUGCUCUGGAAACUGCCAGGCUGGAGUGCAGGAGAGGUAAGUGGAAUUCCGAGUGUAGCGGUGAAAUGCGUAGAUAUUAGGAGGAACACCAGUGGCGAAGGCGGCUUACUGGACUGUAACUGACGUUGAGGCUCGAAAGCGUGGGGAGCAAACAGGAUUAGAUACCCUAGUAGUC
rnacentral:rRNA from 1 species